rnacentral:rRNA from 1 species
UACGUAGGGGGCGAGCGUUAUCCGGAGUUACUGGGCGUAAAGCGUCCGCAGGCGGUCCGGUAAGUUUGAAGUGACAGUGCUCGGCUUAACUGAGUAAGUGCUUUGAAAACUGCCAGACUUGAGGGUCCGAGAGGAAGAUGGAAUUCCAGGUGGAGCGGUGAAAUGCGUAGAGAUCUGGAGGAACACCAAAGGCGAAGGCAAUCUUCUGGAGGACACCUGACGCUAAGGGACGAAAGCUAGGGGAGCGAACGGG